UACGGAGGGUGCAAGCGUUAUCCGGAUUCACUGGGUUUAAAGGGUGCGUAGGAGGGCAGGUAAGUCAGUGGUGAAAUCUCCGAGCUUAACUUGGAAACUGCCGUUGAUACUAUCUGCCUUGAAUAUUGUGGAGGUGAGCGGAAUAUGUCAUGUAGCGGUGAAAUGCUUAGAUAUGACAUAGAACACCAAUUGCGAAGGCAGCUCGCUACACAUAUAUUGACUCUGAGGCACGAAAGCGUGGGGAUCAAGCAGG
rnacentral:rRNA from 1 species